rnacentral:rRNA from 1 species
CCUACGGGUGGCAGCAGUGAGGAAUAUUGGUCAAUGGACGCAAGUCUGAACCAGCCAUGCCGCGUGCAGGAAGACGGCUCUAUGAGGUGUAAACUGCGUUUGUACGAGGGUAAACGCAGAUACGCGUAGCUGUCUGAAAGUAGCGUACGAAUAAGGAUCGGCUAACUCCGUGCCAGCAGCCGCGGUAAUACGGAGGAUUCAAGCGUUAUCCGGAUUUAUUGGGGUUAAAGGGUGCGUAGGCGGUCGGAUAAGUUAGAGGUGAAAUCCCGAGGCUCAACUUCGGAAUUGCCUCUGAUACUGUUCGGCUAGUGCGUAGUUGCGGUAGUCGGAAUGUAUGGUGUAGCGG